GAGCUAGCUUUUGUUGUCCAUGUUCCGAAGCCAGUAGAGAUUUUUGUUCGAUCUCCUAUGCCUGUGGGCAAAGCAGGAGGACAGUGGUACGACUACAGGGAGUUGACAGAGGAGGAAUUAGAAGUGAGACCAAAAUGGUUUUUCUGAUUGUUACUAGUUUCAGUUUUGAAACCUCAGUGUUACUUAUUUUUUUACAUUAUUAGAUCAGCUAAGUAUUUGUCAUAAAAAAAUAGAUGCCUAACCUGGGAAAUAACGCAGGUUAGCUGCUACAACAGGUAUGUACUUGUAAU
rnacentral:misc_RNA from 1 species